UACGUAGGGUGCGAGCGUUGUCCGGAAUUACUGGGCGUAAAGAGCUCGUAGGUGGUUUGUCGCGUUGUCCGUGAAAACUCACAGCUUAACUGUGGGCGUGCGGGCGAUACGGGCAGACUGGAGUACUGCAGGGGAGACUGGAAUUCCUGGUGUAGCGGUGAAAUGCGCAGAUAUCAGGAGGAACACCGGUGGCGAAGGCGGUUCUCUGGGAAUAUCCUGACGCUGAGGAGCGAAAGUGUGGGGAGCGAACAGG
rnacentral:rRNA from 1 species